GCGUGGUAGGAGAGCGUUCUGUAAGCCUGUGAAGGUGUCUUGUAAAGGAUGCUGGAGGUAUCAGAAGUGCGAAUGCUGACAUGAGUAGCGAUAAAGGGGGUGAAAGGCCCCCUCGCCGUAAGCCCAAGGUUUCCUACGCAACGUUCAUCGGCGUAGGGUGAGUCGGCCCCUAAGGCGAGGCAGAGAUGCGUAGCUGAUGGGAAGCAGGUUAAUAUUCCUGCACCGUCGUAUGAUGCGAUGGGGGGACGGAUCGCGGAAGGUUGUCCGGGUGUUGGAAGUCCCGGUCCCUGCAUUGGAGAAGGCGCUCAGGCAAAUCCGGGCGCGGGAUUCAAGGAUGUGGGGCGAGCGGCCUAGUGCUGCGAAGCAAUUGGAAGUGGUUCCAAGAAAAGCCUCUAAGCUUCAGUCAUACGAGACCGUACCGCAAACCGACACAGGUGGGCGAGAUGAGUAUUCUAAGGCGCUUGAGAGAACUCGGGAGAAGGAACUCGGCAAAUUGGUACCGUAACUUCGGGAUAAGGUACGCCCUGGUAGCUUGACUGGCCUGCGCCAGAAGGGUGAAGGGGUUGCAAUAAAAUGGUGGCUGCGACUGUUUAAUAAAAACACAGCACUCUGCAAACACGAAAGUGGACGUAUAGGGUGUGACGCCUGCCCGGUGCCGGAAGAUUAAAUGAUGGGGUGCAAGCUCUUGAUUGAAGUCCCGGUAAACGGCGGCCGUAACUAUAACGGUCCUAAGGUAGCGAAAUUCCUUGUCGGGUAAGUUCCGACCUGCACGAAUGGCGUAACGAUGGCCACACUGUCUCCUCCCGAGACUCAGCGAAGUUGAAGUGUUUGUGAUGAUGCAAUCUCCCCGCGGCUAGACGGAAAGACCCCAUGAACCUUUACUGUAGCUUUGCAUUGGACUUUGAACCG
rnacentral:rRNA from 1 species